rnacentral:lncRNA from 1 species
GGUUUUUGGGGGAAGAACAUGGAGGAAGGUGGAAGAAGGUGGUGGAAGAUGGUGGAGGAAGAUGGUGGAAAGUGGAGGAAGAUGGAGGAAGAUGGUGGAAGAUGGUGGAAGAUGGUGGAAGAUGGAGGAAGAUGGAGGAAGAUGGAGGAAGAUGGAGGAAGAUGGAGGAAGAUGGGGGAGGAAGAUGGUGGAGGAAGAUGGUGGAGGAAGAUGGUGGAGGAAGAUGGUGGAGGAAGAUGGUGGAAGAUGGUGGAAGAUGGUGGUGGAAGAUGGAGGUGGAAGAUGGAGGUGGAAGAUGGAGGUGGAAGAUGGAGGACUUGGGAGACACUGAGGGGAGGUGGAGAGUGGUGACCCGCCAUCAUGUCACCUUCCGGUCACCCAGAGGAAGAUGGUGGAAGAUGGUGGAAGAUGGUGGAAGAUGGAAGAGGAAGAUGGUGGAUGAUGGAAGGUAG